rnacentral:rRNA from 1 species
AUUGAACGCUGGCGGAAUGCUUUACACAUGCAAGUCGAACGGCAGCACGGGGGCAACCCUGGUGGCGAGUGGCGAACGGGUGAGUAAUACAUCGGAACGUGCCCAGUCGUGGGGGAUAACGUAGCGAAAGCUACGCUAAUACCGCAUACGAUCUUCGGAUGAAAGCGGGGGACCCGUAAGGGCCUCGCGCGAUUGGAGCGGCCGAUGGCAGAUUAGGUAGUUGGUGGGGUAAAGGCUCACCAAGCCGACGAUCUGUAGCUGGUCUGAGAGGACGACCCGCCACACUGGGACUGAGGCACGGCCCAGACUCCUACGGGAGGCAGCAGUGGGGAAUUUUGGACAAUGGGCGCAAGCCUGAUCCAGCCAUUCCGCGUGCAGGAUGAAGGCCCUCGGGUUGUAAACUGCUUUUGUACGGAACGAAACGGCGCUGGUUAAUACCCGGCGCUAAUGACGGUACCGUAAGAAUAAGCACCGGCUAACUACGUGCCAGCAGCCGCGGUAAGAC